UAUUAAAUUUUUUAUCCAUUUGUAUUGUUAAAAACUGACAUUGGCUACAUAAUAAUUAGACGAUGACACUUGACAUGCCACCUGUAUCUCAUGUUAAUAUAUAAAAAAAGUUUUUAACAAUAAAAAUAGAUGAAUUUUUUAACA
rnacentral:pre_miRNA from 1 species